UACGGAGGAUCCAAGCGUUAUCCGGAAUCAUUGGGUUUUAAAAGGGGUCCGUAGGCGGUUUAAUAAGUCAGUGGUGAAAGCCCAUCGCUCAACGGUGGAACGGCCAUUGAUACUGUUAAACUUGAAUUAUUAGGAAGUAACUAGAAUAUGUAGUGUAGCGGUGAAAUGCUUAGAGAUUACAUGGAAUACCAAUUGCGAAGGCAGGUUACUACUAAUGGAUUGACGCUGAUGGACGAAAGCGUGGGGAGCGAACAGG
rnacentral:rRNA from 1 species